rnacentral:rRNA from 1 species
UCAACGCUGGCGGCGUGCCUAACACAUGCAAGUCGAACGAGAAAGGAGACUUCGGUCUCUGAGUAAAGUGGCGAACGGGUGAGUAACGCGUGGGUAACCUGCCCUUAGGUUGGGGAUAACUCGGGGAAACCCGGGAUAAUACCGGAUAAGUCCUCGGAUUUGUUUUCGAGGGGAAAGCUUUCGAGUGCCUUUGGAGGGGCCCGCGUCCGAUUAGCUAGUAGGGGAGGUAAGAGCUUCCCUAGGCUUCGAUCGGUAGCCGGUCUGAGAGGACGGACGGCCACACUGGGACUGAGACACGGCCCAGACUCCUACGGGAGGCAGCAGUGGGGAAUUUUGCGCAAUGGGGGAAACCCUGACGCAGCAACGCCGCGUGGAGGAAGAAGGCUUUCGAGUCGUAAACUCCUGUCCCCGGGGACGAAGACAGUGACGGUACCCGGGGAGGAAGCCCCGGCUAACUCC